UGGGAUGCCAAAUACGCCUCCA
rnacentral:siRNA from 1 species